GACGAACGCUGGCGGCGUGCUUAACACAUGCAAGUCGAACGGAAAGGCCCUGCUUUUGUGGGGUGCUCGAGUGGCGAACGGGUGAGUAACACGUGAGUAACCUGCCCUUGACUUUGGGAUAACUUCAGGAAACUGGGGCUAAUACCGGAUAGGAGCUCCUGCUGCAUGGUGGGGGUUGGAAAGUUUCGGCGGUUGGGGAUGGACUCGCGGCUUAUCAGCUUGUUGGUGGGGUAGUGGCUUACCAAGGCUUUGACGGGUAGCCGGCCUGAGAGGGUGACCGGCCACAUUGGGUCUGAGAUACGGCCCAGACUCCUACGGGAGGCAGCAGUGGGGAAUAUUGCACAAUGGGCGGAAGCCUGAUGCAGCAACGCCGCGUGCGGGAUGACGGCCUUCGGGUUGUAAACCGCUUUCGCCUGUAACGAAGCGUGAGUGACGGUAAUGGGUAAAGAAGCACCGGCUAACUACGUG
rnacentral:rRNA from 1 species